rnacentral:tRNA from 2 species
GUGAGUGUAGCUCAAUUGGUAGAGCGCCAGACUGUGGAUCUGGAUGUCGAGGGUUCGAGCCCCUUCACUCACC